GGAAGAACGAAGAAUUAUUCUUUCAGUAAAAAAAAGUAUUUUAAAAUAUUUUUUGUGCAAAGAUAAAUGUCGGGGAAAAUAAUUGAACCAUGUUGGAAAAAGAUGCAAAUUUAUCACAUAGAAUCGUGUUGUAUGGAAGGAGGGCCAAAUGCAUCAACAACACCAUCCGCAACAGCAUUAUCACACCAGCAUCAACAACAACUAGGUACGUAAUUUCUUUGCAAUUUUAUGCUUACGCUGAGGACUGCUCCAAGACAAUUACCUAGAUGAAAACAUCCAAAAGCCUUGUUUCAUUUUCAGAACUCCUGAUGAGGAUUAAAUUAAAGCUAUCCAUCUAAUCAUCGACGAAAAAGAAAUUGUAUUUGACGACUCAUGAAUUCCGGGUGCACUGAGCGUACUUUCGAGAGUCCUUCGAGAGGACUGACAAAAGAGUAGAUUUCUCAACGAAUAUAAUUUAUAUUCUGUUUCUACACAUUCACAAAGUUUCAUCCUAUGAUUGUGCAAUUGGUUAUGCAUGGAUGUCAUUGAAUUUUGGAACUACGGCGCUACGCAACACUAAGCUCAGUAAAGAGAAACAACCUAAAGAGAUAGAACCCCCACGCGUAUCCCCGAAUUAAAACUACGCCCAAAACCUGGUAAUUGGAAUAACUUUCAUGGUUCCAUGUCGUCAAUCACUCAUCAUCCCUUAUGAAGAGUAUAAUUUUAGGUAUCAAAAACACCUAUCUUCAAGAUCUACACGACCCGAAGCAGAAACCAACAGAAAUGAAGCAUUAGCUUCAAACGAUCCAAAAGUAAAAAAAGAAGAAUAUGAAUGAUUGAAUAAACAAUUUAAAAUAUUCGUCAAGAAACAAGAACCACUCUUCAGAGUUGCCUUCUAUCUUCUGCUCAAUAUGGCUGAGAAUGUUGAACUUUAAGAGAAGAUACAUAGUAAAAAUAUUGUCAAUAUGCUUGUCAAGCUAGUGACGAUGACAACGUUCCUUAAGAAACUUUAAAUAGUUGGUGAUAAUAAAGCUAACAUGAACUAGCUAAACAUUUUCGCUGAUGAAGCAAUGGCAAUGCUGACCCAAUACAAGAUAACCUUAAGUUAGUUUUCAGUUUAUCCUUUGAUGGAUUAUUACGUCGGAAAAUGUUGCA